rnacentral:rRNA from 1 species
AACGAACGCUGGCGGCAUGCCUAACACAUGCAAGUCGAACGAGACCUUCGGGUCUAGUGUCGCACGGGUGCGUAACGCGUGGGAACCUGCCCUUAGGUUCGGAAUAACUCCCCGAAAGGGGUGCUAAUACCGGAUAAUGUCUUCGGACCAAAGAUUUAUCGCCUUUGGAUGGGCCCGCGUUGGAUUAGCUAGUUGGUAGGGUAAAAGCCUACCAAGGCGACGAUCCAUAGCUGGUCUGAGAGGAUGAUCAGCCACACUGGGACUGAGACACGGCCCAGACUCCUACGGGAGGCAGCAGUGGGGAAUAUUGGACAAUGGGCGAAAGCAUGAUCCAGCAAUGCCGCGUGAGUGAUGAAGGCCUUAGGGUUGUAAAGCUCUUUUACCCGGGAUGAUAAUGACAGUACCGGGAGAAUAAGCUCCGGCUAACUCCGUG